GAGAAGCUUCUUGUCACCUGAGCUCUGCUUCAUCUGACACUGACUUCUUAGGUGGCCCAGAAAAAUCCCUGAACUUUUUGCUUGAAUCUCAGCUGACAAAUGGGAAGAUGUCUGAGGAGGAGCAAACCUGCGCGUCUGAGACUCUGAGGAUAGACUGAGACUAGUGUGGUAUGACUGCUGGCAAACUUCUGCAGGAGGUGCUGGGCGGAUGUGUGGAACCAGUCGUUCAGCAGAUACAGUUCAGUGUAACUUCAUUACAUUUGAUCGAGCUCAUGACAAAUACUUUCUACCAUUACAAGACUUUUGGACAAGCUGAAGGUACCAUUUACCAGUACUGCUCUACAGGGACUAUGAACCGUCAUGACUAUUGAACAGAAUCAUGGAGGUGAUACAUGCAAAUUAAUAACUCUUUUGGUCCAAAGCAUGUGUACAGU
rnacentral:lncRNA from 1 species